ensembl:lncRNA
AUGCUCCAUUGUUUGAACCACCGGAAUGCAUCAGGGUGUCACUCAAAAUAUGAGGAAGGCUUUUGUCACUUGGCAUGUCCUGACACACCUUCAGGAAUGCUUUUCAUAUACCGGAGCGUUAUUUUUGUAAAUAGUACAUGCAAGGCAUUUCAUUUUGCUUUUUUAUUUAUUUAUUUUUUGCUCUGCCUUGUUUUAUUUUAUUUAAUUAUUAGUAUUAGUAUCUUAAUUUUGUUUUGCUUUGCUCUUCUUUUUUCUCUCAUGACCCAUGUGACCCGUCUUAUCUAUUUACCCUGCAACAGCAGGGAGACAGCUGGGCCUCUGGAGAGCCUGAUUCCUGGCCAACAGCAGGAGGAGAGGCUGGCUGGUGUGCCACUCACCGAUCUUCAAGCAAACAUCAGACUCACCUACAGGGUUCCAGCCGAUUUUGGCCUGCUGGUUGUUGGGGUGGUUGUCAUGGCAACAGGUGUGGUUCAUAGGCAGAGCCAAACAUUUGGGCCAAUAUCCAUCCUGAAACAUCAUUCCUCUGUAAUUCUGCACAGGACAACAGAGGUUCGGAAAACCUGAGAACACUCUUGAAAUGGUAACAGGAAACAAGGAGAAAUGAAGCGAGCUCUGUGCCAGAGGCUCUUUAUAGAUCCAAGAGUCCCAUCAGCAGUAGCACAGAAUGGUCCAUAAACCCAGCGAUCUCCACUCAAGUUUCCAUCUACUAAAUUCUAGUGCGGUUAAAUAAGAGGUGGAACCUUUUUCCAGCAAGUACAUUUAUCGCCUGACAUUUCCUUUUGUGAAAUGGUCGUAGCAAAACAUCACAACAGCAUAUGCAGAGCAUGCAAGAGUUGUUCACUGUAGAAACUAUCAGACGCAAAAUGGGGUCAGUAUUUGGUGCAGAAGUACACUGUUAAAAAAAAAAAAAAAACAGAUUCUGUGCCAUGCUGUUGAUUACCAAAGUCAAUCAUUUUGAUUCUUCCAUCAGUUUGGAAAUCAGGUCUAUGAGGAAAUGCAUUCAAAAGCAGAGGUUUUACAAACAUUUUAAAAGAUUUAAUUUUAUUAAUUCUUCCAUACAAAGCUGAAUAUUAUUGAAGGUCUAACGUUUGUCUAAAUCAUUCUUAAAAAGCAGCACAAAUUAUAACUGUUAUACUGGAACAAGUUUCUACUCCUUAGACUUCUAAUGUAAUUUUGUCAAGGUUAGUUUUUACAAACUGAAGGAUGAAUCAAAACUAUUAGGCAUCAUCAUGCAGCAUAGCUUUUAUGUGCAUAAGUGUGUAUUGUAACAUGAGACAAUCCAAUAAUAAUAAACUACUGGUUUCAUAGCA